GUGAGGAAUAUUGCGCAAUGGAGGCAACUCUGACGCAGCCAUGCCGCGUGCAGGAAGAAGGCGCUACGCGUUGUAAACUGCUUUUAACCGGGAAGAAACCCCAGGACGUGUCCUGGGUUGACGGUACCGGAGGAAUAAGCACCGGCUAACUUCGUGCCAGCAGCCGCGGUAAUACGAAGGGUGCAAGCGUUAUCCGGAUUCAUUGGGUUUAAAGGGUGCGGAGGCGGAGCGUUAAGUCAGUGGUGAAAUCCUGCAGCUUAACUGUAGACUUGCCAUUGAUACUGGCGCUCUUGAGUGCGCUUGAAGUGGGCGGAAUGUGCCGUGUAGCGGUGAAAUGCUUAGAUAUGGCACAGAACACCAAUUGCGAAGGCAGCUCACUAAGGCGAUACUGACGCUGAGGCACGAAAGCGUGGGGAUCGAACAGGAUUAGAAACCCGAGUAGUCC
rnacentral:rRNA from 1 species